rnacentral:rRNA from 1 species
ACUCUGCUUAUGACUGGGCUAACACGUGCUACAUGGACAGAACAAAGGGCAGCGAAACCGCGAGGUUAAGCCAAUCCCACAAAUCUGUUCUCAGUUCGGAUCGCAGUCUGCAACUCGACUGCGUGAAGCUGGAAUCGCUAGUAAUCGCGGAUCAGCAUGCCGCGGUGAAUACGUUCCCGGGCCUUGUACACACCGCCCGUCACACCACGAGAGUUUGUAACACCCGAAGUCGGUGAGGUAACCUUUUAGGAGCCAGCCGCCGAAGGUGGGACAGAUGAUUGGGGUGAAGUCGUAACAAGGUAACCAAGCG